ACUCAAAUGAAUUGACGGGGACCCGCACAAGCAGAGGAUGAUGUGGUUUAAUAUGACGCUACGCGUAGAACCUUACCCAGGCUUGACAUCCUUGGAAUCCGCCGGAAACGGUGGAGUGCCUUCGGGAGCCAAGUGACAGGUGCUGCAUGGCCGUCGUCAGCUCGUGUUGUGAAAUGUUGGGUUAAGUCCCGCAACGAGCGCAACCCUUAUCGUAUGUUGUAUUUUUCAUGCGAGACUGCCCGGGCCAACCGGGAGGAAGGUGGGGAUGAAGUCAGGUCGGCAUGGCCCUUACGCCUGGGGCUACUCACGUCAUACAAUGGCCAGUACAACGCGCAGCGAAACCGCGAGGUGGAGCAAAUCGCAUCAAAACUGGUCUCAGUUCGGAUUGGAGGCUGCAACUCGCCUCCAUGAAGUCGGAUUUGCUAGUAAACGUGGGUCAGCAUACCACGUUGAAUACGUUCCCGGGUCUUGCACACACCGCCCGU
rnacentral:rRNA from 1 species